GACCGAGGAUGCAAGUGUUAUCCGGAAUCACUGGGCGUAAAGCGUCUGUAGGUGGUCCAAUAAGUCACCUGUUAAAUCUUGGGGCUCAACCUAAAAAUCGCAGUCGAUACUAUUAGCCUAGAGUAUAGUAGGGGUAAGGUGAAUUUCCAGUGUAGCGGUGAAAUGCGUAGAUAUUGGCAAGAACACCGAUGGCGAAGGUGCUUUACUGGGUUAUUACUAACACUGAGAUACGAAAGCGUGGGUAGCAAAUGGG
rnacentral:rRNA from 1 species